rfam:Heterocephalus glaber contig179054, whole genome shotgun sequence.
GGGGAUGUAGCUCAGUGGUAAGAGUGCUUGCCUAGCACAUGUGAGGCCCUGAGUUCAAUCCCCAGCACCACCA